GGGGCUCGGUCUUUCUAACCCUAAGCGGAACGUGGCCCCUCCCCGCCGCAGCCGUCCGCUGUUUUACUCGCUGACUUUCAGCGGGCGGGGGGAGCGGGCGGAGACACCAACCAAAAAACGUCAGCGAGGGGCCCUCCCCUCCCACGCCGACCUGGGCCGGUGUGGGGCCCGCCAGAGAAGUCCCCGCCGCCCCGCCCUGGUGAGGCCGCGGUCAGCCGGUUCGCGCCACUGCUGCCGCGAAGAGUUCGUCUCUGUCAGCCUCGGGGGCGGCCGGGGUGGAAGGGCGGGUCCCGGGCGGGUCGGCCGGGAGAGCAAACAUUUCUACCUUUGAUCCCAGCUGCAGCAUGGUCAGCUCUUCUGGUGCUUCACUCCCACUGGGACCCAGAAGGGCAAGAGAGAAGGACUGCAAAAAUUACGAGCCUGAAGAUCUUUCCGAAUCUUAACAGAAAGGUGAAGUUUGAGAGAGACACGCAUUCCCGGGGAGAGCAGGAACAGAUCUAGAGGGAUACAAUGGAGGUGAGUGAGAUCUGAAAAUGGGAAAGUGCGUUCAAAGACUAUUUACAGAAGCCGUUAGGAAUCAUGCUGCGUCUAGCCGUGUAAAGAGCAGGCGGUGCCUGGAACCUCCACUGGGUAUAUAGUCGCAUACACUUUACCUUCACGCAUGUAGAUCUACGCACGAGGUUUAAGCUACACCAUCAGCCCUGCUCCUGCUGCUUUCCUCCAGCUCCAGCUUUCCGCGGGGACCCCAGAAGGAGAGAAAGGGGGCUCCUCCGGAAAGGUAGCAGCAGGAGCGGAGAGGAAAUGAGCAGGAGCGUGCUGCUGAGCCGCAGGUUGGGUUGU